AGUGAACGCUGGCGGUAGGCCUAACACAUGCAAGUCGAACGGCAGCACAGUAAGAGCUUGCUCUUACGGGUGGCGAGUGGCGGACGGGUGAGGAAUACAUCGGAAUCUACUUUUUCGUGGGGGAUAACGUAGGGAAACUUACGCUAAUACCGCAUACGACCUACGGGUGAAAGCAGGGGAUCUUCGGACCUUGUGCGAUUGAAUGAGCCGAUGUCGGAUUAGCUAGUUGGCGGGGUAAAGGCCCACCGAGGCGACGAUCCGUAGCUGGUCUGAGAGGAUGAUCAGCCACACUGGAACUGAGACACGGUCCAGACUCCUACGGGAGGCAGCAGUGGGGAAUAUUGGACAAUGGGCGCAAGCCUGAUCCAGCCAUACCGCGUGGGUGAAGAAGGCCUUCGGGUUGUAAAGCCCUUUUGUUGGGAAAGAAAAGCAGCAGGUUAAUACCCCGCUGUUCUGACGGUACCCAAAGAAUAAGCACCGGCUAACUUCGUG
rnacentral:rRNA from 1 species